GCAAUGCAAGAAUCUCAGAAACCCAUCUCCAAGCUCAGGUGCAGUCCAGCAACAAUGAUGAAGGCAGACCACAGACAUUUUCCUGAAUGGGAGCACCAGAAGAACCCUCCGGAUGUGAGCAGUCCUGGACAGAGCACGUGAGGAGGGGCCCUGGGCUAGCAGUUUGCUGGAUGGGAUUGGCUCCAAGAUGGGAGAUGAAGUCUAAAGGGUUUAUUCCCACAAAGGAAGUAACCUUCAAGGGUUUAAAACAAACUUCCUUUUUUGGGGAUAGCAGCUGAAGA
rnacentral:lncRNA from 1 species